UGGGGAAUAUUGCACAAUGGGCGCAAGCCUGAUGCAGCCAUGCCGCGUGUGUGAAGAAGGCCUUCGGGUUGUAAAGCACUUUCAGCGAGGAGAAAGGGUAGUGUGUUAAUAGCACAUUGCAUUGACGUUACUCGCAGAAGAAGCACCGGCUAACUCCGUGCCAGCAGCCGCGGUAAUACGGAGGGUGCAAGCGUUAAUCGGAAUUACUGGGCGUAAAGCGCACGCAGGCGGUUUGUUAAGUCAGAUGUGAAAUCCCCGCGCUUAACGUGGGAACU
rnacentral:rRNA from 1 species